AUCUAAAAGGACGUAGGGUCUGUUUGGCUUAACUUUUAAAAAAAAUAAUUUCUGAAAAAAAUAAUUUUAGUUUAGAGAAGUGUGAGUUUAGAUAAGAAUGAUUUUUCUAAAGUGAUUUUGAAAAGCUAUUUGGCAAAAAAAUUUUUUGAUGUUUGCGUAAAUUAAUAUUUUUAUUAAAUUUUAUUUUAAAAUAAUUUAAAAUCUAAAUUUAAAUUUGAAUUAAAAUUACAAUUUUUAAAUUUUAAAAUUAUACAAAAUUUAAAAUUUAAUAUUUUAAUUUAAAAAAUUUAAAAUAUAAAAUUUAAAAAUUUAAAAUAAUUAUGAAAUUUAAAAUACAAAAUUUAAAAUUUAAAAAUAUUAAAUAUAAAUUUAAAAAUAUAAAUAGUUAAUGAAAUUUAAAAUAUAAAAUUUUAAUAUUUAAAAAUAUAAAUAUAAAUUUUAAAUUUUAAAAUUAUAAUUAUAAAUUUAAAAUUUAAAAAUUAAAAUUUAAAAUCUUAAAUUUAAAAUUAAAAUUGAAUUCAAAAGUACUUUUUAAAA
rnacentral:lncRNA from 1 species